CCUACGGGGGGCUGCAGUGGGGAAUAUUGGACAAUGGGGGCAACCCUGAUCCAGCCAUGCCGCGUGUGUGAAGAAGGCCCUCGGGUUGUAAAGCACUUUCAGUGAGGAAGAACGCCUGGUGGUUAAUACCCAUCAGGAAAGACAUCACUCACAGAAGAAGCACCGGCUAACUCCGUGCCAGCAGCCGCGGUAAUACGGAGGGUGCGAGCGUUAAUCGGAAUUACUGGGCGUAAAGCGCGCGUAGGUGGCUUGAUAAGCCGGUUGUGAAAGCCCCGGGCUCAACCUGGGAACGGCAUCCGGAACUGUCAAGCUAGAGUGCAGGAGAGGAAGGUAGAAUUCCCGGUGUAGCGGUGAAAUGCGUAGAGAUCGGGAGGAAUACCAGUGGCGAAGGCGGCCUUCUGGACUGACACUGACACUGAGGUGUGAAAGCGUGGGUAGCAAACAGGAUUAGAUACCCGAGUAGUC
rnacentral:rRNA from 1 species